rnacentral:rRNA from 1 species
GGUCCAAACUCCUACGGGAGGCAGCAGUGAGGAAUAUUGGUCAAUGGGCGAGAGCCUGAACCAGCCAAGUAGCGUGCAGGAUGACGGCCCUAUGGGUUGUAAACUGCUUUUAUAAGGGAAUAAAGUGAGUCUCGUGAGACUUUUUGCAUGUACCUUAUGAAUAAGGACCGGCUAAUUCCGUGCCAGCAGCCGCGGUAAUACGGAAGGUCCGGGCGUUAUCCGGAUUUAUUGGGUUUAAAGGGAGCGUAGGCCGGAGAUUAAGCGUGUUGUGAAAUGUAGACGCUCAACGUCUGCACUGCAGCGCGAACUGGUUUCCUUGAGUACGCACAAAGUGGGCGGAAUUCGUGGUGUAGCGGUGAAAUGCUUAGAUAUCACGAAGAACUCCGAUUGCGAAGGCAGCUCACUGGAGCGCAACUGACGCUGAAGCUCGAAAGUGCGGGUAUCGAACAGGAUUAGAUACCCUGGUAGUCCGCACGGUAAACGAUGGAUGCCCGCUGUUGGUCUGAAUAGGUCAGCGGCCAAGCGAAAGCAUUAAGCAUCCCACCUGGGGAGUACGCCGGCAACGGUGAAACUCAAAGGAAUUGACGGGGGCCCGCACAAGCGGAGGAACAUGUGGUUUAAUUCGAUGAUACGCGAGGAACCUUACCCGGGCUUGAAUUGCAGAGGAAGGAUUUGGAGACAAUGACGCCCUUCGGGGCCUCUGUGAAGGUGCUGCAUGGUUGUCGUCAGCUCGUGCCGUGAGGUGUCGGCUUAAGUGCCAUAACGAGCGCAACCCCUCUCCUUAGUUGCCAUCAGGUCAAGCUGGGCACUCUGGGGACACUGCCACCGUAAGGUGUGAGGAAGGUGGGGAUGACGUCAAAUCAGCACGGCCCUUACGUCCGGGGCUACACACGUGUUACAAUGGCAGGUACAGAGAGACGGUCCCUUGCAAAAUGGAUCAAAUCCUUAAAGCCUGUCUCAGUUCGGACUGGGGUCUGCAACCCGACCCCACGAAGCUGGAUUCGCUAGUAAUCGCGCAUCAGCCAUGGCGCGGUGAAUACGUUCCCGGGCCUUGUACACACCGCCCGUCAAGCCAUGAAAGCCGGGGGCGCCUAAAGUCCGUGACCGUAAGGAGCGGCCUAGGGCGAAACUGGUAAUUGGGGCUAAGUCGUAACAAGGUAGCCGUACCGGAAGGUGCGGCUG